ACACUCCUGCGGGAGGCAGCAGUGGGGAAUAUUGCACAAUGGGCGCAAGCCUGAUGCAGCCAUGCCGCGUGUAUGAAGAAGGCCUUCGGGUUGUAAAGUACUUUCAGCGGGGAGGAAGGCGAUAAGGUUAAUAACCUUGUCGAUUGACGUUACCCGCAGAAGAAGCACCGGCUAACUCCGUGCCAGCAGCCGCGGUAAUACGGAGGGUGCAAGCGUUAAUCGGAAUUACUGGGCGUAAAGCGCACGCAGGCGGUCUGUCAAGUCGGAUGUGAAAUCCCCGGGCUCAACCUGGGAACUGCAUUCGAAACUGGCAGGCUAGAGUCUUGUAGAGGGGGGUAGAAUUCCAGGUGUAGCGAUGAAAUGCGUAGAGAUCUGGAGGAAUACCGGUGGCGAAGGCGGCCCCCUGGACAAAGACUGACGCUCAGGUGCGAAAGCGUGGGGAGCAAACAGGAUUAGAAACCCCGGUAGUCCC
rnacentral:rRNA from 1 species